UGCAGUCGAGCGGAUCUUGUCCUUCGGGACAAGAUUAGCGGCGGACGGGUGAGUAACACGUAGGCAACCUGCCCUCAAGACUGGGAUAACCUCCGGAAACGGAUGCUAAUACCGGAUAUGCGGUUUCUCCUCCUGGAGAGAUCGGGAAAGACGGAGCAAUCUGUCGCUUGGGGAUGGGCCUGCGGCGCAUUAGCUAGUUGGUGAGGUAACGGCUCACCAAGGCGACGAUGCGUAGCCGACCUGAGAGGGUGAUCGGCCACACUGGGACUGAGACACGGCCCAGACUCCUACGGGAGGCAGCAGUAGGGAAUCUUCCGCAAUGGACGCAAGUCUGACGGAGCAACGCCGCGUGAGUGAGGAAGGCCUUCGGGUCGUAAAGCUCUGUUGCCAGGGAAGAACGGGUGGAAGAGUAACUGCUUCCGCCAUGACGGUACCUGAGAAGAAAGCCCCGGCUAACUACGUGCCAGAG
rnacentral:rRNA from 1 species